GAAACUGCAAUGAUAACAAGUAGUAAACGAAUGUCUGGAUUAAGAGACCUUUUGGUUGGUGCGAAAAAGGCGAAGCAUCGUUGAAUUCACUGUUGGAGCAGCAAAAUGGGAAUUAAUUGUUAACGAAAAUUUUGCCGGUUGAUCACCGUUACUGAUUUUAAGUGUGCAGUUAUUUAGGUAGCUGCAAAUUAGGGUGGUACCGCGUGACUUCGUCCCUUUA
rnacentral:ncRNA from 1 species